rnacentral:lncRNA from 1 species
AAAUGCAAAGUGUAUGCAAUAGCAUUGCAUUUGAAGAAGUGUAAUACUAAAAAAAAAAUGAUAAUCCAAAUCCGCGUCUUGAGAGUGUCGUCGUAGCAUGAAGAGUCUUCAAAACUUGUCGAGUCGCCGAAGGAGAGAACGAAGAGAUGGCACAUCAGAGGUAGACACUGCAUCACUUGAAGAUACAAGAUAAGUAUCAAGAGAAGAUGGGUUGUCAAAAGAAGAUGGCACAUCAAGAGAAUAAAGCAUUGUGCAGAAAAUCAUAGUCCACGACAACCGUCGGCGAAAGAAGCUCAGCGGAUAAGGCACGAUGGACGUAGAACGACAAUGCAAAAGAAGUCCAGAAAAUCUUAUAGAAAACAACAAGGGCAAAUAGGCCACAAAAGUUGCAUAGAAAGGAUCAGGACCGGAGAAAGGCUGACGGACUAAGGUAUGGUGGACUCGCAUGGCAUGAGAAAACACAAAAUAUCAACGGAUUUGGUGGACGCAGCGGAAAACAAAGAAAACUAGAAAACACACACUAGAUUAGGGAUGAUGGCAGCGGAAGAGAAAAAAAAAGAUCAUGGCGGCGAAGGCCAAUUCCAACCAGAGUGUGCGUAAGACGGUCCUGGCUGUGUAGAAGGUGGUUGCUCAGUGCGGGAAGUCUGAGUCAGAAUACCAGCAGUACCCGUCGAGGAAGAACCUGAAGUAGCGAGCAGACGCUUAAGUUGCAGAAUAUCCUGCUCAGUCAAAGCGAUGGCUGAAGCUGUCGAGGUAGAUGACGAAGUCUCUGUAGAUGAUGAUUGCGCCUGACGCAAGUGUUUCUUCUUCGUGUAGCAGUGGGACUUAAUAUGACCAUCAUUGUUGCAGUAGCCACAAUGUGAACGGGGGCGACCUGAGCCUCCAGAAGGAGUGGGCAAGAGCGGCGGAGCACUCGAGUGAGAAGGGGUCGGUGCAGCAGGGGGCGUAGAAGUAGCCCGAGCAGCGAGCACCGAGGGAACCUCCAGCAAACCAGCACCACGUAAGCGAGUCCCCUCAGCACGAAUCUCAGAAAGCGCCUCCAUGAGAGAAAUACAGCCACGAGCAAACAACUUGCACGCCGAGGCUCAAACUCCUUACGGAGCCGAGACAGGAACUCGUAGACACGAUGAAACUCCAAGUUGGUCUGGACAACCUGGCAACAGGGGCAAGUACAACAACCAGCAGUGCGGAGAGAAUCGAGCUGGCGCCAGAUAGCAGAACUCUGUGCAUAGAAGUCAUCAACAGUAGAGUCACCCUGCUGAAGAGCAUGCUCCUGACGAACCACGGAGAGGUAUAAGGCAUCACCAGAGGGCGCAUAGCGCUGACGAAGGCGAGUCCACAUCUCAAAGGCAGUAGGAAGGCCCAAAAACUCAGAGACAAACUGAGGCAGAACGCUAGCAGUGAGAACAGCUGCAGCACGAGCAUCAUCAUCAAGCCACUGGGUGUAAGCAGACAGAGCACCAUGAUACGUCUGAAGAGCCUCCUCAUAAGCCAAAGCCUUCUCAUCAUAAGCACGGAUAGCGACCUCAUCAGCAAGCUUAGUUGUAUCCUUUGCGGCCUGAGAAGCAUCCGCAGGAAGAGCCGGUGGGGUCGGCGGAGUGGGAGCCACGGGAGGAACUGGGCAUGGCGGACAGCAGACCUCGCCAGAAAGAAUACCCCAUAGACGGAUGCCACGCAUGUGAAUGCACAUGAACCCAAUGAACUCAGUGUAGUUACUACCAUCGAAGAUCACCGAACAACGAGGGACAGCAACAUAGCCGGAUGCAACAGACUUUUUUUUUUUGGAACUCAGUGGCGAGCCGCGUCCGCGUCUGACAGCAGGAUUGGAGACGACGUGGUAUGGUGAGAUGAGGCGUCAGAUCUGGCGGAGCCGUCUGAUGGAAACUGCCUCGAUCUGGAGAUGGGAAUCACGUCCGCUGGGAACAGCCUUGAUCUGCUGAUGGGAACACGUCCCUGCUGAUGGAACACGUCCCUGCUGGGAACAGCCUCGAUCUGUGGAGGGAACCACGUCCGCUGGGAACCGCUCGAUCGGGAGGCUCACGAGGCACGGGAGGAACCGCCUCGAUCGGACCGCUGCGAUCUGGCGAGCGACGGGAGGGACCACUCGAUCUGGCGAGCCACAGGAGGGAACCUCGAGGAGGACUCGAUCGAGACGAACGGGAGAUCGAGGACGAGAUUGGAUAGAAGCACGAGUUGCGCGUGCAUAAAAAAAAACCUAGGGCUCUAAUACCAUGUUAGGAAAGCAACUUGUCUAUAUUGAAGGCCCAAGGGGCAUAUAUAUAUUACACAUGACUUAAGGUGCAAGGAAAGUAAACAUAGACUAAUAAGGACUCCUAGACUAAUACUAAUAGACUAAUAAGGACCCCCUCAAAUGCAAAGUGUAUGCAAUAGCAUUGCAUUUGAAGAAGUGUAAUACUAAAAAAAAAAUGAUAAUCCAAAUCCGCGUCUUGAGAGUGUCGUCGUAGCAUGAAGAGUUCGCGACCAACUCAUGGUUCUGGCACAUGGGUGGCAAGUUUCCAAGCACUCGUCUCCAUGGCUAAUUCUUUGGUGAUACUCCAGUCGUUCAAAUCUCUAUUUACUGACUCCUCUCAUGUCAAGUUCGGUCUACACCGACCUCUUUUGACAUUAUCAGCACGCUUUAGCCGUCUGCUAUGCACUGGAGCUUCUGAAGGCCUGCGCUGAAUAUGCCCAAACCAUCAGACGAUGUUGGACAAGCUUCUCUUCAAUCGUGCUAUCCCAACUCUAUCUCGUAUAUCAUCAUUUCGGACUCGGCCCUUCCUUGUGUGUUCACACAUCCAUCUCAACAUGUGUAUCCCUGCCACACCUAAUUGUUGCACAUGUCGCCUUUUAGUUGGCCAACACUCAGCACCAUACAACAUUGCGGGUCGAACCGCCGUCUUAUAGAACUUGCUUUUUUAGCUUUUGAUGCACUCUAUUGUCCCAGAAAAUGCGAGAAGCUUGGCGUCACUUCAUCCAUCCGGCUUUGAUUCGAUGGUUCACAUCUUCAUCGAUAUCCCCACCCUUCUGCAACAUUGACCCCAAAUGUCGAAAGGUGUCCUUCUAAGGCACCAGCUGUCCAUCAAGGCUAACCUCCCCCUCCCCCUCGUGCAUAUAGUACUGAAAUUGCACCUCAUGUACUCGAUUUUAGUUUCACUAAGUCUAAAACCUUUCGAUUUCAUGGUUUGUGUCCAUAGCUCUAACUUCCUAUUGACCCUCGUCCGACAAUCAUCGACUAGCACCACAUCAUCCGCAAAGAGCAUACAUCAUGGGAUAUCUCCUUGUAUAUCUGUUGUGACCUCAUCCAUCACCAAAGCGAUAAGAUAAGGGCUCAAAGUUGACCCUUGGUCCACUCCUAUUUUAAUCGAGAAGUCAUCAAUGUCGCCAUUACUUGUUCGAACACUUGUCACAACAUCAUCGUACAUGUCCUUGAUGAGGGUAAUGUACUUUGCUAGGGACUUCCUAUUUCUCCAAGUCCCACCACUUGACAUUUCGCGGUAUCUUAACGUAGGCCUUCUUCAAGUCAAUGAACACCAUAUGUAGGUCCUUCUUUUACUCUUUGUAUCUCUCCAUAAGUUAUCGUACCAAGAAAAUGGCUUCCAUGGUCGACCUCCCAGGCAUGAAACCAAACUGAUUUUUGGUCACGCUCGUCAUACUUCUUAAGUGAUGCUCAAUGACUCUCUCUCAUAACUUCAUUGUAUGGCUCAUCAGCUUAAUUCCAUGGUAAUUAGUACAACUCUGAACACCCACCUUGUUCUUGAAGAUUGGUGCUAAUAUACUUCCUCUUCAUUCCUCUCGCAUCUUGUUUGCCCGAAAAAUGAGGUUGAAAAGCUUGGUUAGCAUACAAUCGUUAUGUCCCCGAGGCCUCUCCACGCCUCAAUGGGGAUACAAUCAGGGCCCAUUGCCUUGCCUCUUUUCAUCCUUUUAAAAGCCAACUUGACCUCAGACUCCUGGAUUCGCUGCGCAAGAUGCCAGCUAGUACCAUCAAAGGAAUCGUCUAGUUCAAUCGUAGAGCUCUCAUUCUCCCCAUUGAACAACUUGUCGAAAUACUCCCGCCAUCUAUGCUUAAUCUCCUCGUCCUUCACAAGGAGCUAGUCUGCUCCGUCCUUGAUACAUUUGACUUGGUCAACAUCCCUUGUCUUCCUCUCUCAGAUCUUGGCCAUCUUAUAGAUGUCCCUUUCGCCUUCUUUCGUGUCUAACCGCUGGUAGAGGUCCUCAUACGCUCGGCCCCUUGCUUUACUCACAGCUUGCUUUGCAGUCUUCUUUGCCAUCUCGUACUUCUCUAUGUUUGUCCGCACUCCUAUCCAGGUAUAGGCGCCUGAAACAAUCUUCCUUCUCCUUAAUAGUCUUUUGGACAUUAUCGUUCCACCACCAGGUAUCACUUCUACUUCCCUUGGACACUCCAUACUCCUUUGAGGCCACCUUACGAAUGCAAGUCGCCAUCUUCAUCCACAUAUUGUCUGCAUCACCUCCUUCCUCCCAAGGGCCCUCCUUAAUGAUCCUCUCCUUGAACGCCUAAGCUACCGCUCACCUGAGAUUCCACCACUUCGUUCUAGCUACUUUGGCGUGCUUGUCCCGCUGGACACGAAUCCGAAAGCGGAAGUCAGCAACCACAAGCUUAUGCUCAGGGACAACACUCUCUGCAGGUAUCACUUUAUAAUCAAGGCACACACACCUGUCUUCUCUUCUCGAGAGGAUGAAAUCAAUCUGGCUAGAGUGUUGACCACUACUAAAAGUAACUAGAUGUGAUUCUAUCUUCUUAAAGAGGGUGUUAGCUACGAUCAUGUCGUAGGCUAGAGCAAAGCUUAACACAUCUUCUCCUUCUUGAUUCCUGAUGCCAUAGACAUAGCCAAAGCCCCCAUGCACUCCUUCAAAACCGGUGUUAGAUGUGCCCACGUGGCCAUUGAGGUCUUCUCCCAUGAAGAGCCUCUCGCCAAUCGGUACACUCCUAACCAUGUCCUCCAGGCCUUCCCAGAACUCUCUUUGGUGUUCUCAUUGUGGCCUAAAUGCGGGGGAUACGAGUUGAUAACAAUGAGAAUUAAGUCCACAACUAUCAGCUUGACUAGGAGAAUCCAGUCCUCACGUCUCUUGACAUCUACCACUCCAUACUUGAGGGUCUUGUUGAUCAACAUGCCUACUCCAUUUUUGUUUGCAGCCGUCCCCGUGUACAACGGCUUGAAGCCGGUACCCUCCACCUCCUCGCCUUUUGUCCCCUCCAUUUGGUUUCUUGGAUGCAAAGGAUAUCAACACCUCUCCUCAUCGCUAUAUCAGCUAGCUCCCGAAGCUUACCUGUCAGGGACCCUACGUUCCAGCUAGCUAAGUGGCUUCUCCUUGGCUCGCUUCCUUACCCUUCGCACUCGUCGAGUAAAAUGCAAAGACCCUUGCUCAUUUUCCACUACACCCGUGCGUCGAUGUAGUGCACCACUAAGGAUGCGAUGAUCCGAUCCUUGCUCACUUGCCAUCAUAUCCAGAUCAAGAUACAGUGCGCCGCCAGGGGAUGACGGCCAGACCCUUGUCCAUUUGACACCACACCCGGGUUUCGAUGUGGCGCGUCGCUGAGAGGGUUAUGCCCCAAUGAAAAUCUUUUGGGUUUCAUCUCCAUAAGAGCGGCUAAGUUUUGACGUUGGCUCGUCAAGCCUAUCACAACCCUCCUCCUUUACCCGGGCUUGGGACCGGCUAUGUUGAGACAACAUAGUCAAUAUUGUCUUGAUCCCUCUAAUAUAUUCUCUGAUUCGGUCAUGUCAUGCGCUUAUUUCAACAUAAACUGAAUAUUAUUCAUUAUUGUAUAAUCUAUUAAUUUUGUAUGAAGAAAACAUGAUGCAUGACUGUCUGUAUAAUGAUGCCCACCAGUCAAACAUAGUAGGUGCUCCAGAUUUUACUCACUGAAUUGCAUCUUUUAAUUUGUGAUGAUAAACAAUUGGACCCUCAUUAGUAUUCGUAUGCUAUCUUUGCAGUUGGUACACCACUAAAGUGUUGUUGCUUUUGCCAUUUAAAUUUGACUACAUAGAACUAGGAUCCUACUGCAUGGAAUUUCUGGAUCAAAUCAAAACUACCUUUCUGCAAUUAACUUACUUUAUUUACAUGCUUUGAUGCUAGUUACCGGGAUUCCAUCACUCAUGUUUUCUUUCGCAUUAUGGAAUAAUAGCUACAUCAGAUCUUAUAUGUUGAAAUUUUACAGGUUUGGGAGGUUCGACCAAAGGCGAAAUUUAACAAAGGCGAUGCACUGGAUCAUUUAUACCGGUAUCUGCUUCAGCAUCUCCAGGUGGAAAGCUCGCAGGUUCUAGCAAUUCACAUCGGAGAUGAUACUACUGACGAGAACGCUUUCUCGGUAAGAUACUGAAAAGAUCAUCUAAAUUGCUCUCAUUUCUUAAAGUUCUGGUACUAAGAAUUUAUCCUACAAUCAGAUGCUCCGUGAGAAGGGGUAUGGAUUUGGGAUACGCGUCCAGACGGAGCCCAAGCUCACUGAAGCCACUUACUCACUUAAAGAUCCUUACGAGGUGAUGGGGUUUCUUAAGAAGCUAGUGAAAUGGAAAAAGCUUCUGUCAGGAAACAGGUCCAAAUGCAAUCGUAUAUGUUUCCACUAAAAUACUUCUGUACCAACCUCUGAUUCUUCACCACAGCAAACUGCAAGCUUCUGAUUCUCCUCCGGUGAUGUGCAUCUGUAACAGCACAUAUGUGUAAACUUCAUACAAUAAUAAUAAAUUAAGUCGUGAGAUAACAGAAUAACAUACCCAUACUUCAUUAAGCCCUGUGCAUCAGAGAGAAGAUAGCAGCCGCAUCGCCUGCCACCCGACGACGACGGCCCCGCCUCCCAACGCGUGCGCGCCGCACUUGGCCUCCUUCCGCGGUAUUGGUUCAUCGCGCGGCUUGGGUGGUGGGUGGGGUGCUGGUGGGGGCAUUUGACGGAUCCGACGCGGCGGAGAGGAUACGCUAUUCUAUGCUAUGGCGACGGGGACGGCAUGGGCAAAAUACAAAUCUGAUCCUUAGUCGCAAAAGAAUCACAAAUUGGGACUGCUCAGCUCACAUUG